UUAGUGGAAGCGUCUGGAAAGGCGCGCGAUACAGGGUGACAGCCCCGUACACAAAAGCGCAUGUGCUGUGAGCUCGAUGAGUAGGGCGGGACACGUGGUAUCCUGUCUGAAUAUGGGGGGACCAUCCUCCAAGGCUAAAUACUCCUGACUGACCGAUAGUGAACCAGUACCGUGAGGGAAAGGCGAAAAGAACCCCGGCGAGGGGAGUGAAAAAGAACCUGAAACCGUGUACGUACAAGCAGUGGGAGCCCCACCACUAAGCCAGUGGUGAACUCCACAUACGCAUCCUUUGCUGAGGAUACGGUUAACGGAGCGAAAGCGACGUUCAACCUCAAAAGAAGCAGAGGGGGCUUAGUGGUGGGGUGACUGCGUACCUUUUGUAUAAUGGGUCAGCGACUUAUAUUCUGUAGCAAGGUUAACCGAAUAGGGGAGCCGGAGGGAAACCGAGUCUUAACCGGGCGUUAAGUUGCAGGGUAUAGACCCGAAACCCGGUGAUCUAGCCAUGGGCAGGUUGAAGGUUGGGUAACACUAACUGGAGGACCGAACCGACUAAUGUUGAAAAAUUAGCGGAUGACCUGUGGCUGGGGGUGAAAGGCCAAUCAAACCGGGAGAUAGCUGGUUCUCCCCGAAAGCUAUUUAGGUAGCGCC
rnacentral:rRNA from 1 species